rnacentral:rRNA from 1 species
AUUGAACGCUGGCGGCAGGCCUAACACAUGCACGUCGAACGAGUGGCGGACGGGUGAGUAAUGUCUGGGAAACUGCCUGAUGGAGGGGGAUAACUACUGGAAACGGUAGCUAAUACUGCAUACCAUCAGAUGUGCCCAGAUGGGAUUAGCUUGUUGGUGGGGUAACGGCUCACAAAGGCGACGAUCCCUAGCUGGUCUGAGAGGAUGACCCGCAAGACUGGAACUGAGACACGGUCCAGAUUCCGACGUGAGGCAGCAGUGGGGAAUAGUGCACAAUGGGCGCAAGCCUGAUGCAGCCAUGCCGCGUGUAUGAAGAAGGCCUUCGGGUUGUAAAGUACUUUCAGCGGGGAGGCGUUACCCGCAGAAGAAGCACCGGCUAACUCCGUGCCAGCAGCCGCGGUAAUAC